GACGGGGUAUUGAGGUUUAUAGUUUUGGCGCCCAUACCGGACGGGGUAUGGGGACGGUCCUAGAAUCUGAUUACAAGUGUUAAGGGUUCACGAGUAGCGGGACCCCUAUGGAUCCCCAUGGAUACUAGUAGGCUGGUAAAAGAGGAAAAAUAUGUUGUGUAAUGAUUAAAUUACAAAAGGCGUGAUAAGUAUUAUGUUAUACAGUUUAUAUGAUUUCAUGAUGAUGAUAAUGUUAUUGCUUUCGUAUAUUGUUUUAUGAAUUUCACCGAGGUAAGUGGAUGGUAAAGGAUUUUAUUAUUGAUAAAAGGAUUUGUUGUAAAUUAUGCUCCAUUGGUCUUUUUGUGUUUUCU
rnacentral:lncRNA from 1 species